CUGGUGGUGAGCACGGGAUGGGCUGUCGGGAUGCAGGCAGAUAUGGGGGCCGUGUAUGGGGAAAUGGAUUGUUCUCAUUUGGGCAGAAAAGAUGAAUGUUUUGAAAUCUAUACACACAAACUGCAGCAAUAUUUUAAGAUCAAUGAUACUGAGGACAGUCACAAGAAAAUACCAUUUUACAACCCCAUAAGAUUGAUGCUUCCUUCCAGGAAUGGGGAAAAAACGUGGACGAGUGGACGAUCCCCCUCUGCAGCCUUCUAAACGCUCCUGGCCCAAUCCAAAGCCACCGAACCCAUCGGUGUUACCACAGUGACAUCAAGAGGCCGCUGUUGAGGACACAGCUGCUGUGCAGAGCAUGGAGCAGGAGGGGACCAGGGGCUGCUAGGGAUGGAGGUGCAGCAGCAUGGAGCCGUCCCAGCACCCAGCUGCCCAGCAUAUGCUGCAUCUGAGGCUUUCAAGGCUAAAAAAAGAACCUGAAGUGCUAUAUCCGGAGAGAAAAAAAAAAAAUCACCCAGAAGUUUCUUUUUCCUGGGUACUCUAGAUGGAUACUCCUGUCCUGCAGCUGGGGACGCAUGAGGGAGCAGCAGCCUGCGAUGCUCGCUGUGCCUUGGGCUGAGCAGGAACAUGGAGCAUCCAGGGAGGAUGCUGCCUCUGUGUCCAUGGGUUUGGGGUGUGCAGGACUGAGCACGUUCCAUUCCCUGCCUUCCUGCUGACUUCCAGUGGUACGUAGCCCACUGAACACAACAUUUUUCACACUGGAAGUGCAACCAGGUCAAUUUAAUAGGAUUCUCAUCAUGAACACAGCAAGGAUUUCUUUCUAACCAGGCCAGCAGUGUCCUCAUGGCCCACAUUUCCCUUCUUCCCUACCAUUCCUUGAUCAAUAGGGCCAUCUCCUAAACACUCUCUGGGCUCAGCAGCUGCCAUUCACAGCUCUGAAGAGGCUCAGCUCCAAAGUGCAAACUGUCUGCAUUGUUCAGCUAUUGUUCUUGGCUUCCUAAAAACACCUAUUCAGUGCUUCUCUAUUUGAGAUUGGGUAGAAAGCUUGAGAGUGGGUGCAGGAGCAGGAGCAACCUCCACACAGGCUCUUAUGUACGUGUAAAUAUUGGAAAGGUCGUGCAGUUAUUCAUACAGUGUGUUCUGCCAGCUUUGUGCUGAAAACACCUUUUCUGGUGUCUCCUAAUAAAUCUUUGGGGGUUUGCAAAUGUAGCAGCAGGCAG
ensembl:lncRNA